rnacentral:rRNA from 1 species
GACGAACGCUGGCGGCGUGCUUAACACAUGCAAGUCGAACGGAAAGGCCUGUCCUUCCUUGUGUUGGACGGGUACUCGAGUGGCGAACGGGUGAGUAACACGUGAGUGAUCUGCCCCCAACUUGGGUAUAAGCCUGGGAAACUGGGUCUAAUUCCCGAUAGGACUGCAGGGUGGUGCCUGUGGUGGAAAACGAUUUUCUAGUGGUUGGGGAUGAGCUCGCGGCCUAUCAGCUUGUUGGUGGGGUAAUGGCCUACCAAGGCGGCGACGGGGAGCCGGCCUGGGAGGGUGGACGGCCACAUUGGGACUGAGAUACGGCCCAGACUCCUACGGGAGGCAGCAGUGGGGAAUAUUGCACAAUGGGCGGAAGCCUGAUGCAGCGACGCCGCGUGGGGGAUGACGGCCUUCGGGUUGUAAACUCCUUUCGACCGCGAGGAAGCCGCCUGGUUGGAAGGGUGGUGACGGUAGUGGUAGAAGAAGCACCGGCUAACUACGUG